rnacentral:rRNA from 1 species
UACAGGGGGGGCAAGCGUUGUUCGGAAUUACUCGGCGUAAAGGGCAGGUAGGUGGUUUGGUAAGUCUAUUGUGAAAGCUCCCGGCUUAACCGGGAGAGGCCAAUGGAUACUGCCAAGCUUGAGUAUAGGAGAGGUUACUGGAAUUCCCGGUGUAGCGGUGAAAUGCGCAGAUAUCGGGAGGAACACCAAUGGCGAAAGCAGGUAACUGGACUAUUACUGACACUCAACUGCGAAAGCUAGGGGAGCAAACAGG